GACGGAGGGUGCAAGCGUUAUCCGGAAUCAUUGGGCGUAAAGUGUUCUCAGGUGGUCUCUCAAGUCAGAUGUCAAAGCCUGAAGCUUAACUUCAGUCCGGUAUCUGAUACUGUGAGACUCGAGAUCUUGAAAGGCAAGUAGAAUUUUGCGUGUAGGGGUAAAAUCCGUUGAUACGCAAAGGAAUACCAAAAGCGAAAGCAGCUUGCUGGCAAGUUUCUGACACUUAUGAACGAAAGCGUGGGGAGCGAAAAGG
rnacentral:rRNA from 1 species